rnacentral:rRNA from 1 species
CGUCGUGAAGAGGGAAACAACCCAGACCGCCAGCUAAGGUCCCAAAGUCAUGGUUAAGUGGGAAACGAUGUGGGAAGGCCCAGACAGCCAGGAUGUUGGCUUAGAAGCAGCCAUCAUUUAAAGAAAGCGUAAUAGCUCACUGGUCGAGUCGGCCUGCGCGGAAGAUGUAACGGGGCUAAACCAUGCACCGAAGCUGCGGCAGCGACGCUGAUGCGUUGUUGGGUAGGGGAGCGUUCUGUAAGCCUGCGAAGGUGUGCUGUGAGGCAUGCUGGAGGUAUCAGAAGUGCGAAUGCUGACAUAAGUAACGAUAAAGCGGGUGAAAAGCCCGCUCGCCGGAAGACCAAGGGUUCCUGUCCAACGUUAAUCGGGGCAGGGUGAGUCGACCCCUAAGGCGAGGCCGAAAGGCGUAGUCGAUGGGAAACAGGUUAAUAUUCCUGUACUUGGUGUUACUGCGAAGGGGGGACGGAGAAGGCUAUGUUGGCCGGGCGACGGUUGUCCCGGUUUAAGCGUGUAGGCUGGUUUUCCAGGCAAAUCCGGAAAAUCAAGGCUGAGGCGUGAUGACGAGGCACUACGGUGCUGAAGCAACAAAUGCCCUGCUUCCAGGAAAAGCCUCUAAGCAUCAGGUAACAUCAAAUCGUACCCCAAACCGACACAGGUGGUCAGGUAGAGAAUACCAAGGCGCUUGAGAGAACUCGGGUGAAGGAACUAGGCAAAAUGGUGCCGUAACUUCGGGAGAAGGCACGCUGAUAUGUAGGUGAAGUCCCUCGCGGAUGGAGCUGAAAUCAGUCGAAGAUACCAGCUGGCUGCAACUGUUUAUUAAAAACACAGCACUGUGCAAACACGAAAGUGGACGUAUACGGUGUGACGCCUGCCCGGUGCCGGAAGGUUAAUUGAUGGGGUUAGCCGCAAGGCGAAGCUCUUGAUCGAAGCCCCGGUAAACGGCGGCCGUAACUAUAACGGUCCUAAGGUAGCGAAAUUCCUUGUCGGGUAAGUUCCGACCUGCACGAAUGGCGUAAUGAUGGCCAGGCUGUCUCCACCCGAGACUCAGUGAAAUUGAACUCGCUGUGAAGAUGCAGUGUACCCGCGGCAAGACGGAAAGACCCCGUGAACCUUUACUAUAGCUUGACACUGAACAUUGAGCCUUGAUGUGUAGGAUAGGUGGGAGGCUUGGAAGUGUGGACGCCAGUCUGCAUGGAGCCGACCUUGAAAUACCACCCUUUAAUGUUUGAUGUUCUAACGUUGACCCGUAAUCCGGGUUGCGGACAGUGUCUGGUGGGUAGUUUGACUGGGGCGGUCUCCUCCUAAAGAGUAACGGAGGAGCACGAAGGUUGGCUAAUCCUGGUCGGACAUCAGGAGGUUAGUGCAAUGGCAUAAGCCAGCUUGACUGCGAGCGUGACGGCGCGAGCAGGUGCGAAAGCAGGUCAUAGUGAUCCGGUGGUUCUGAAUGGAAGGGCCAUCGCUCAACGGAUAAAAGGUACUCCGGGGAUAACAGGCUGAUACCGCCCAAGAGUUCAUAUCGACGGCGGUGUUUGGCACCUCGAUGUCGGCUCAUCACAUCCUGGGGCUGAAGUAGGUCCCAAGGGUAUGGCUGUUCGCCAUUUAAAGUGGUACGCGAGCUGGGUUUAGAACGUCGUGAGACAGUUCGGUCCCUAUCUGCCGUGGGCGCUGGAGAACUGAGGGGGGCUGCUCCUAGUACGAGAGGACCGGAGUGGACGCAUCACUGGUGUUCGGGUUGUCAUGCCAAUGGCACUGCCCGGUAGCUAAAUGCGGAAGAGAUAAGUGCUGAAAGCAUCUAAGCACGAAACUUGCCCCGAGAUGAGUUCUCCCUGACUCCUUGA